rnacentral:rRNA from 1 species
GGACUACCGGGGUAUCUAAUCCCAUUCGCUCCCCUGGCUCUCGUCCCUGAGUGUCAGUCGCGAAAUCAGGCCUAGCAGAGUGCCUUCGCCCUUGGCGUUCUUCCCGAUCUCUACGCAUUUCACCGCUCCACCGGGAAUUCCCUCUGCCCCUACCGGACUCAAGCCCGGUGGUCUCCGCCGCCUUUCCAGGGUUGAGCCCCAGGCUUUGACAGCGGACUGACCGGGCCACCUGCGGACCCUUUACGCCCAAUCAUUCCGGAUAACGCUCGCAUCCCCCGUCUUACCGCGGCUGCUGGCAC